rnacentral:tRNA from 1 species
UGGGAUGUAGCUCAGUGGCAAAGCAUUUGCCUUGCAUUGGCAAAGCCCUAGGUUCAAUCCCCAGUUCCCCAA